GAUGUUUUUAGAAUUAUGCAUUAUUGGUAGCUUUAUAAAUUGUGUAAUCCGUUCAUGAUUGUGUCUCCGUUUUAAUAUUCGGGUGUGUUGGUUAAAUUUAAAAGAAUGUGUUGUUUGGAUUGAAGAUUAGAGUUAACACCUUCACACCUCUAGUAUUAUUUAGAGUUACCAAUCUUUAAGAGUAAUGUUGACUCUUUUCUUUUUAAGUUAUAUCUAUUAACUAUGGUAUAUUGGCAUGUUUCUGUUUCCUUUUAAUUAUUUGAGCAUGUUGAAUGGAUUGCUU
rnacentral:misc_RNA from 1 species